UCCGAUUUGAAUAUCGGCAGUCUCGCUAGAGUGCCCGGCCGAACCGCUGGCAACUGGACACAAGGGUUGCGCUCGUUGCGGGACUUAACCCAACAUCUCACGACACGAGCUGACGACAGCCAUGCAGCACCUGUGUAUCCUGAUAUUGCUAUCUCGUCGGGCUUUCACCCUUCUACUAGAUACAUGUCAAGGCCAGGUAAGGUUCUUCGCGUUGCAUCGAAUUAAGCCACAUACUCCACCGCUUGUGCAGGCCCCCGUCAAUUUCUUUGAGUUUUAAUCUUGCGACCGUACUCCCCAGGCGGCACGUUUAACGCGUUAGCUUCGCCACAAAAGGGGUCGAUUCCUCUUACAGCAAACGUGCACCGUUUACAGCUAGGACUAC
rnacentral:misc_RNA from 1 species